AGGAUGGAAAGGAGCCAUUUGUGAGGCACAAGCAUCAGCCUUUGCUGCCCUGCAGCCAGGGGCUGAUGGAGCUGGUGCUGGUAUAUCAGGGGGCCACUUAGACUUCCUUCAUCCCCAGAAUCAAAGGGACCAGAAACUUAGAAGAUGUCACAAUUUUAUCUGCUACUGACCCUGCAGGCAGGGCUGCCUGGUGGUGAAACAAUAUGGUAUGUAACAGAGUCGAGACAGGUUUGUGUAGGAUGGAUGCAGGCUCCAACCCUGUGCUGCACUGCCUGGCUGCCCGAUCUCCCUCAACGAGCCUCAGUUUUUCACCUGUAAAGUGGGGAUAAUGCGUCCACAUCUCAGGAUCAUUGUGAAGAGUGAGGACAUCACAUAUAAAAAAACUGGCCCACAGAAAGCAUGGAGUAAAUGCCAGCUGUUACAGCAGCUUCUGUAGGAAGGCAGAGCCUGCCUUGCAGCCACUCCACUGGCAAACGUGUCAAUAGGAAGAGUGAGAAGUGAGCAGUGCCUCCUGAGCUGAUGCCUACAGAGGAGCUGUGACAAUCUGCCUCUAGAACAACCUCAGCAAGCUGCCUGGCCCAGGGGAAAUCCAACCGUGGUGACUUUGCCCAGAUUCUGCAAGAUGCUUUCUAAUUGUUGGUGUUCACGAGGGACAAGCAACAGCUGAGCUCAUUCCCUUCCUAUCAAUUUGCAACAUCUGCCCCAGCCCUUACUGACAGUAGAGAAAAAUAAGGACUUUCCGAUCACACCUUUAGGCCACCAAUCUUCAAUGAGUUACUGGGCCCUUCCAGAAAUCAGAUUUUCUAACUGGUCCCUGCAUUGGCUCCAGCA
ensembl:lncRNA novel transcript